rnacentral:lncRNA from 1 species
GAAGUCCUCCUUCUCCCCCUUGUACAAGCCGGACAGGAUCUUCACCAGAUCAUCGGCCGAGCCAGGUCCCUUGCGGCCGUGACGGGUGGCGUCGUCGUCUCCGUUGAAGUACCACAUGGGGUGGCCCCUAUAUUGGAGCGGCUGCACCCCACGCAUAAUGCAUGUGGCCAUGACUCCGACCAUGGUUAAUCCGGAAUGGGCUAGCAGCCGUAUCCGGCCCAUCAAGUAAUGGACGCUACUAUCAUCUUCUCGUCGAGGGCUCCGUGGGUGCCAACUUAGGUGUUUCUUCAGGGGAGCGUUGCUGAACUCCGGAAGGCCGAUCCGGACUGGAUCCGGCAGCGGAGCGUCCUCCAUAUAAAACCACUCCGAAGGCCAAUCUUCGGACGUCUUCUUCGCGGUCCCGGACAGGUAUCCGGUCCCGGCGAUGCGCCAUAUUUCGGCUCCGCCCACUUGAUAUAUCGACCCCUCGUGAGAGCGGGGUACGAGGCAAAACAGCCUCUUCCACAGCGCAAAAUGGGGCUCAAUGCCCAAGAACAGCUCACACAGAGCUACGAAGCCCGCGAUGUGCAAAAUGGAGGCAGGUGUAAGGUGAUGAAGCUGGAGUCCGUAGAACUCCAGGAGCCCCCGGAGAAACGGAUGUAUAGGAAAUCCGAGUCCCCUUAUUAAGUAGAAGACGAAGCACACCCGCUCUCCUUUGGAGGGAUUGGGGGUGCUCUCCGCCUGCUUCCCACCUUUGUAGGUGGCCAGUCCGGCUCGAACCAGAACCAUGAAGGCCGGGGGAAGAUAUCCCUCUGCUUGGAGCGUCACUAACUCGCUGUGCGGGACUGAGCAUCUCCUCCAAUCUCCUGGCUUAGGGCUGGGAGCGCGAGAAGAGUUGCCGCGUCGACUGUCCAUGUUGGAAUGGGUUUGGUGUCAGAUGCGCCUCGAUGAGUGCUUGCGGAAGGAGGAUGAUGUGAUUUGGGUCUGGAUCCUCGCCUCUCUUAUAGGCAGCUUAUUUGCGCAGCUAGGGGGUAAAACAUAAAAAUACCCUGGCUUUUCGCAUUCGUGUGACGCGUGGAAGAAGACUAUUAUUGGACGCGGAAGCCAAGGAGCGCAACAUUUAUGAAGCAACCGGACACUAUCCGGCAAACACAUGGAGCAUGAAGAAGAACCCGCCUUGCAAACGUCGAAGACAACAUAUGCACCGGAUUCGUCGUUAUUGAAGCCUAGUUCGGGGGCUACUGAGGGAGUCCCGGACUAGGGGGUGUCCGGAUAGCCGAACUACCAUCAUCGGACGGACUCCAAGACUAUGAAGAUACAAGAUUGAAGACUUCGUCCCGUGUCCGGAUGGGACUUUCCUUGGCGUGGAAGGCAAGCUUGGCGAUACGGAUAUGUAGAUAUCCUACCUUUGUAACCGACCCUGUGUAACCCUAGCCCUCUCCGGUGUCUAUAUAAACCGGAUGGCCUUAGUCCAUAGGACGAACAACAAUCAUACCAUAGGCUAGCUUCUAGGGUUUAGCCUCCUUGAUCUUGUGGUAGAUCUACUCUUGUAACCCACAUCAUCAAUAUUAAUCAAGCAGGACGUAGGGUUUUACCUCCAUCAAGAGGGCCCGAACCUGGGUAAAAACAUCGUGUCCCUCGUCUCCUGUUACCAUCCGCCUAGACGCACAGUUCGGGACCCCCUACCUGAGAUCCGCCGGUUUUGACACCGACACCAAGUUUGUUGGAAAGCUAAUGACAUGGGCUAACACAAUAUUGAUAGAAAUAUCAAGAAUAAGCAAAUGAGAAAAGUCCCAUAAGAAAAUGGUGAGAACCCUUCAUCGGAUAAGACCGGUAAAACCCCCAACACCGAAAACAUCAUAGAAGACGCAUACAAACUCCGUUUUCGAUGAACUCAAGCUUGUCAUCAAGAUGACCAUAAGCUCUAAGACUCACAAAGAUAACCAAACAAGAACCAAGAAACAUGAUGCAAGGAUGCAAUGGUUUGAGCUCUCUACUAACGAUACAAUCAAGCUACCAACUUGAGAGCCCCCCUUGAUAGUACGGCAAACGAUCCUAUAACUCGGUCUCCCAACUACCACCACGAGACCGGUAAAAUAGAAAACCUAUCAAGGGCAAACCUUUGCCUUGCACAUGGUCCAAUUGAGCUAGAUGAUGACGAUCUUGUCCUUCUCAAGAUGGACCACCUUUCUUGAUUGCAUUGGGUCGAUGGAGACUAGAUGAUUGCUCCCCCAUACUCCACUAUGGGUGAGCCACUCUUCGGCACAUCUUCACAAGUCCAUUGACACCACAAUGGAUGGCAAGCUUCAAGCACUUGAUCUCUUCGUGAUGCUCCACUUGAACUUGCACACAGCAAUCUUGAUGACGAUCACCACUUGAUGUCAUCCUUUCCAUGGGUUGUAUGAUAUCUUCUUCUUGACGCAAGCCCAUGGACACGUACCUAACCACACAUAGACUCUCACAUAGAACAUGGGUUAGUACACAAAGUGUAAUGGACAAUGCUUACCAUACCAUGGGAUCACUUGAUCCCUCUCGGUACAUCCUUUACGCUUUGUGAGUUGAUCAACUUGAUUCACUCUUGACUUAGUCUUGAUCAACCUUGAAUCUUUCCAACUCUCUUCGUUUGGAUGAUGUCUUGAAGGUAAACAUGAAUGAUCACACAAUCUUCUUCUUCAAGACAUGCUUGCAAUAAGCUCAACACUCACAUGACCAAUCUUUGGAUAAUUCCUUAAUAGCACCUUGGUCAACCCAUAAACUCCUUGAAACCAACACAUGGACUUCAAGAAAUGCCUAUGGAAAAAUCCUUCAAAUAUAACUCAAUGCAACCAUUAGUCCAUAGAGAAUGUCAUCAAUUACCAAAACCACACAUGGGGGCACCGCAUGUCCUUUCAGCCUCUUACAAGCAAGUCAAGGGGAAGGCGAGGAAAGGGGAGGAGUUUAACCCGAGCCAGAUCCCCUACAAUCCAGAGUAGGUGAUGAUAUCUAGUGGCGGGAGGUCCCGUGGCUCCAUAGCCGUUGAUCCAGAGAUUGCUCCUGAGACCACGGUGAGUUUAAUUUGAAUGGACGUUACUUGCUAGUCUUAACAUUUGAGUGUCAUCAUGCUAACNNNNNNNNNNNNNNNNNNNNNNNNNNNNNNNNNNNNNNNNNNNNNNNNNNNNNNNNNNNNNNNNNNNNNNNNNNNNNNNNNAAAUAUUGGAAAUGAUCUUUGGUGCAGCGUUACUCCACACAAGCAUCACAUGAUCCUUCUCCAGCUACUGGCCUGAGCCAGCCCGCUCCCAGACCUCCAUGAUCAAGGUAAGUUUCUCUAGUUUUUUGCUUAACAAAUGCAUAAAUACCUAGACUUAGCUUUAUUUCAUCCAAUAUGCUUACCUUAAUGACCUAGAGUUAGCUUCUUUUCCUGCAAAAUGACUUAAUAAGCUUACUGAGCUCCAAAACCAGCCAUUUUACCUAAGUUAGCUCUAAAACAAUUUAUACUUAGCUUUGUUUCCUCCAAAAUGACCUAAGUUAGUUAUAAUAUGCUUAGUUAACUAGGUUUGCUCAAUAAUGACAUGUACUUACCUUACUUAUGUAAAAAAACAGCAUAAUUAGCUUAGUUAGCUCAUAAACGAUCCAUUUUACCUACAUUGGCUCUAAAAUGAUGCAUUUUACCUAAGUUAGCUCAUAAACGAUCCAUUUCACCUAAGUUACCUCACAAACGAUGGCGUGCUUCUUCUUCUAGUCACCUUUUCCUAACUUUCUUAUUUGCCAUUUUGCAGAUUUCAUUCACUUCUCGGAAGCUAGCUUGCUAUGAUGGAGUGCUUGUUUUUUAUUUCAUUCUCUUAUAGUAUUCUUCUAGCUUGCUACGAUGGAACUUGCUAUCUUGAUUAAACUUUGCAUUGUAAUAUGUAUGUGCAACUUUGCUAUCUUGAUGGAACUUGCUAUGUAUGAGUGGAUGGAACUAUAUAUGUAUGUACGAUGAAACUUAUGUGCUGUUAAAUAGCUCUAUGAAAUAUAUCU